AUUGAACGCUGGCGGCAGGCCUACCACAUGCACGUCGAACGAGUGGCGGACUGGUGAGUAAUUUUUGGGACACUGCCUGAUGGACGGGGAUAACUACUGGAAACGGUAGCUAAUACCGCAUACCAUCAGCUGUGCCCAGAUGGGAUUGGCUAGUUGGUGUGGUAACGGCUCACCAAGGCGACGAUCCCUAGCUGGUCUGAGAGUAUGACCAGCCACAAUGGAACGUAGACACGGGACAGACUCAUACGGGAGGGAGAAGUGGGGAAGAGUGCACAAUGGGCGAAAGCCUGAUGGAGCCAUGCCGCGUGAAUGAAGAAGGCCUUCGGGUUGUAAAGUACUGGCAGCGGGGAGGAGUUAACCGAAGAAGAAGCACAGGCUAACUCCGUGCCAGCCGCCGCGGUAAUAC
rnacentral:rRNA from 1 species